AAAGUGUUUGUGUGCAGUUACCUUGUGUAAAUAAUCAAAUUUUCUUUUAAAUUGAUAUGUGUUACCUGUUUGUGCUUAUUGUUUUUAGAUGAUGUAAAUAGGGAAACAAAAUAGUACACACUUAGUGUUACAUUUAAACACGGAACUGUUGAUUUAUAAAGUUGUACAAAUGUAAUUAAGAUGAAAAACAUCUUUUGUCAAUUGUCAAGAUAGAAUUUAAAAUAACACAAAAGAUUUUUACUUUAAAUAACAAUAAAACGAUGUAUUCAACGCGUUCUUUUUAAAAUGUAAACAGUGUAAUCGAGUCGCUUAUAAUUUCCUCAAAAGAAAAGUUUUAUAAAUAUUAGUCUGGUAGAUCAAUGUGUAAAAAUGCUAUUAAGGAGGAUUAUAACUUUUGUAGUUUUAUUAUUAACUCAACCAGUCUAUGGCGUGUCAGUGUACGAUGGAUUUGACAUUCUUAUUGUCGUCUGGGGAUCAGUGGCUGGAAUUGCUACUCUGACUAUAUUUGUCAUCAUAAUAUACAUCCAUGUUAAAUCAAACACAGAUAUUAUAGUUUCAAUACAACGAAUGGUAGGAAAUGAGGAAAACCAAGAAACUUACGAGACUCCAGAAGCAAGAAGAGACAGUCACAUUUACAAUCAAGAUCAAGACAAUCAAAGUGACAACAAUCAAUAUUUAGAAGUUCGGUCAUCGACCACUAGCGAUAUUAACAAUGACAAUAUUCAGAGCCGGUCAUCGACUCUUCCAACAAAAGGGGAUAAUCAGAAUCAAUUACUGUACACAGGGAAUAUUCCAAAUCGUGUAUCUGGUAAACAAGUAGAAAUACCUGGCGAAGCUGAUCACAAUCGGUCUCGGGAUCAGAAUCGUGAAACAGUUUAUGAAAUCACCGACCUUGAUAACUCAAGCUGAUCAACGCAAAUGAAAAACGUCAGCUAAAAAGACUAUGAACAAUAUGCUUAUAAGUAAAUCCGUUAUUCUUCAUUUUCAAUUUAAUCUGUUUAAAAAUGUCAUCUUAAAAUGUCAUGUUAUACAACAUAAAAUGCUUAGAGAAGCGACAUAUCAUAAUAGAUUAGUCUCUUAAAAACAUUAAUAUUUCAAGUAAUACAACAAAAGAGGCUUGGAGAAGCGACAUAUCAUAAUAGAUUAGUCUCUUAAAAACAUUAAUAUUCCAUGUAAUACAACAAAAGAGGCUUGGAGAAGCGACAUAUCAUAAUAGAUUAGUCUCUUAAAACAUUAAUAUUUCAUGUAAUACAACAAAAGAGGCUUGGACAAGCGACAUAUCAUAAUAGAUUAGUCUCUUAAAAACAUUAAAUGGUGUAUCGUUCCAUGGUAAAAAUUGAGUUAUCUUUCGUUUACCAGAACAAAAGUUUCAACUGGAAAAAUAUAGUCAAUCUCAUUACAAAAGAAUUUAUAUAUGAAAAUAAGAAGAUGUGGUAUGGUUGACAAUGAGACAUCUCUCCAUCAGAGACCAAAUGACGUAGAAGUUAACAACAAUAGGUCAUCGUACGGCCUUCCACAAUGAGCAAAACCCAUACCGCAUAGUAAUAAUAUGUACGUUGGAAUGGAAAAAUAAUUAAUAGGUUACACGUAUGUCGCAUCCCCGGGCGUCUCUUUUAAGGGAUAAAACUAUUAAAACGGUCAAACUCUAGACAAAUAAGUGUGAGCUGCAUAGCAGCCCGAAACACGCAAUAUCUGUAUUAAAACAUAUACAUAUAUGUUUUAUUUGUUCAUUAAGGUUUUUAUAUCAAACUAAACCUACUGUGUUUGCAAAGUGCGAUGCGCCUGUAGAUUUCCCUUAUUGGGAAUGCGCAAAGCCUAAUGUUAGGGACAAAAACUAUUCACGAUGGUAUAGAAAUAUGGUCAUCUGUACUUCAAACUAAACGGUUAGGUAGUUAACAAUCUAAAUCUACAAGCGUAAAAGUAAAUUUCAAUAUAAAAACAAUAUUGAAUUUCGUACAUUGUAGAAACAAAUAAAAUUCAUACCCAAAAGAAAAAAAAAAUUGACGAUCCUCGGUUUUCUUCCCAUUUCUUAAUAUAAGUUUGUACAAAUAGAUUUCAUAUUUUCCUAUAAUGUACGAAUUUUAAUAUUGUUUAUGUCUUUAUUGAUACCCUGAUUACUUAUAAUAUGGACCCUUAGGGUUUACUGAAGCAUAAUAGACAUAUUCUCUAUUCCAACAGUUAAUUCGGUUGUGUUGGAUGUAUAAAAACUCAUCCACGUCCGAUCGAAAUGAUGACAAUACAUUCUAUGCGCUUUGUGUAGGGGUAUGCCACGCUCUCUGCAUUUUUAAAAAUCCUUGAAACAAGGUUUUUUGACAGGUAACUUUACAGAACGCACCGAUUAAAUUUAUUGUAUUUGCUCUCGUCUGCAUAUGCAUGAACUAUUUCACGUUAGAUGUUAAGCAAAUAAUCAAUAAAAUGUAAUACAGUUUUCUUAAUUAUAAGUUGUUAAUGAGUGCUACGUAUUCAAACAUCUCACUACAAUUCAGAAUCGAUCCUUAGCUGGUUCUCGGCUGACUACUACACUUUGUUUGAGUGUAGCGUAAUACAAGCAGUUUCCAGUUCAAAUCGAUCCUAUUUAAUGUGUUGAGAAAUGAAAUUAUUGAUUUUCUAUCGAUUACUUAGCGAGAACGUAGUUUAAAAAAGAUACAUUGUGUUAAAAUUUGAAUGUAACAUACAAUAUAACGACAUAUUUUUAAUAUCGCGAUCUAUUGAUAACAAGUUAAAUUGUUUCUUUGUUUUGAUGUUUAAGUACACACCAUUGUUUCAAACGGCGUUUAAUUAGAUGUGCAUCUCGACAGUAUAUGACAGGUAACGGAUAGAACGUUUAACGUUACACACUAUGGGUGAUAUUAGAAAGAAUGACCUAUUUGUUGUCGGAAUCUCUCUUGGGGUUGCUGUCUUGUUCCAACUUCUUGUUAUCAUCAUUUACUGUGUCGUGAAAAGGAAAAGAGAAAAAGCAGAAAGGAGAAAAAAAGAUCAUGAAAUAUUUAUAGCAUCGAUUGAACAUAACGUGCAAUUAUCGAUACAAAGAGAUACAAACAGUCAUGUACAAUCAUGUGAUACAAACAGUCAUGUACAGUCAUCCGAUACAGCCAAUCAAUACUAUGAGAGAAGGAAACAGAUUAACAGUGAAAAAAAUAAAGCAGAAUUUGUUCUACUUGGGAUGAUUUGAAGUUAUUCAGUAAAUCAUUUGAUACUUUGAUUUCAAAAUUAUGAAUACCAUUUACGUUUUAUACAUUUUUAUAAAC